CUCAUUCGUAUACAAAAAGUACAGGUUGUGACAGAUCACCCAUGUAUAAGAAAGUAUUUUUCAAAAGCACAGUUUCUGUUCAGUUAUCAAUCAAUUAUAGAGUCUGACGUAAAUAUAGUUAUAAAUAUAGUUGUAGUUGACGUAAAUAUUAAAUAGUUAUAUCGGACGUAAAGGCAGCGUUCCAUGCAGUCGCGCAUUUUUAUAAGCACGUAAAGUUUAAAGGUUUUUAAAUUUAACACUGUAGCAUCAAUUACCUGCACAAAUGCACAUUAAAUCAUUCACAAAACUAUAUGCUUUCCUUUUAUUCAUUCAGUUAUUUCAUGAGUAACAUUUAAAGAUAUUUCAAAUUUUCCGUGCGUGUACGCACGUAUGUAAAACGCGUGACUGGAAGCAGCCUUUAUAUCUGACGUAAAUAUAGUUAUAUCUGAC